AAGAAGGAAGUGGGGUUAUGGAAUAUUCUUUGACAUUCCAAACUUAACAAAUAUUAGAGAACAUCCAAAUCAGGAAGAGGAGGAUUCCCCCAACACAAGGCUGCAGGGCUCACAAGCACUGACAAUUCACCCAACAGUUUCAGGACCCAUGAAGACAGAGCCACAGAUUCCCCUGAAGAAUGAUGAAAUCUUCCUCCCUGAGCUCCUGAGAGAACAGGGGGGCUUAGUGGAAACACCACACACCUGGCUGGAUCUUGUCAGGUGGAGACACUGAGGGCUGUUUCUUUCCAGUUCUGGAAGACUUGGAGUUCCUACUCGGCAGCUUUGCUCGGCCUGCUUCGGAGCGAUGCACUGUGCACCACCCCACCUUCAGCACCUAAAACAUUGCCUGCAAUGUGGUGGACGCUGAGGAAAUACUGUUGGCUGGGUGAGCAAAUGCCUGUGAGCUGGCUUUUUCAUUUAACGAUAGAAGGUUGUCAUUUUUCUCAGUGGUGCAUUAGGAUAAGCC
rnacentral:lncRNA from 13 species